CAAGAACUUCACAGCCUGCAUCUCUCAGCUGCUGACUUUGCUCUCUGGACCAGUCUUCUGACUCUAUCAAUCUUUGGGCAGGAUGAAGUUUGCCAUGAUCUUCCUCGUGUUGACGCUGGUCGUCCUCAUGACUGAACCUGGAGAGUGCAUCCAGUUUCUGCGUCUGGGUAGAAGAUGGACAGAUUUCAAGCGUGGUAUGGACUCGUCUGGAGGGCCUGCAGAACAAGAAGUUGUCCAACAGGAUGCUGAAGCCUAUAAUCGCUGAAUCGAGAGAUCACACCAAGAUGCAGUUUUCAAGCUGUAUGAACUGGGGGGAAAUACAUUACCACAUUACCCCAGACCAGUGAUCUCAGUUCUAACUGGUUUUGGAAAAAUGUCAAAUUGCUUGAUAUUGCAAAAUUCCCUGAUGAAUAAAACUGCAUAACAAAAAGUCAAA